UACGUAGGGAGCAAGCGUUGUCCGGAAUCAUUGGGCGUAAAGCGCGCGUAGGCGGCCCCGUAAGUCCGCUGUGAAAGUCAAAGGCUCAACCUUUGAAAGCCGGUGGAUACUGUGGGGCUAGAGUCCGGAAGAGGAGAGUGGAAUUCCUGGUGUAGCGGUGGAAAUGCGCAGAUAUCAGGAAGAACACCAAUGGCGAAAGCAGCUCUCUGGGACGGUACUGACGCUGAGACGCGAAAGCGUGGGGAGCGAAACAGG
rnacentral:rRNA from 1 species